GGCGCACGGGUGAGUAAUGCGUAUGCAACCUGCCCUUAACUGGAGGAUAGCUCCCGGAAACGGGAAUUAAUACUCCAUAAUGUUCUAAAUCACAUGGUUUAAGAAUUAAAGCUCCGGCGGUUAAGGAUGGGCAUAUGUGACAUUAGUUUGUUGGUGAGGUAACGGCUCACCAAGACUACGAUGUCUAGGGGGUCUGAGAGGAUGAUCCCCCACACUGGUACUGAGACACGGACCAGACUCCUACGGGAGGCAGCAGUGAGGAAUAUUGGUCAAUGGGCGCAAGCCUGAACCAGCCAUGCCGCGUGCAGGAUGACUGCCCUACGGGUUGUAAACUGCUUUUGUACGAGAAGAACCUUCCGAACGUGUUCGGGACUGACGGUAUCGUACGAAUAAGGAUCGGCUAACUCCGUGCCAGCAGCCGCGGUAAUACGGAGGAUCCAAGCGUUAUCCGGAUUCAUUGGGUUUAAAGGGUGCGCAGGCGGAAUAGUAAGUCAGUGGUGAAAUCCUGCAGCUUAACUGUAGAAUUGCCAUUGAUACUGCUAUUCUUGAGUAUAGUUGAGGUGGGCGGAAUGUGUAAUGUAGCGGUGAAAUGCAUAGAUAUUACACAGAACGCCAAUUGCGAGGGCAGCUCACUAAACUAUAACUGACGCUGAGGCACGAAAGCGUGGGGAGCGAACAGGAUUAGAUACCCUGGUAGUCCACGCUGUAAACGAUGAUCACUAGCUGUUGGCAAUACACAGUCAGCGGCUGAGCGAAAGCGUUAAGUGAUCCACCUGGGGAGUACGUCCGCAAGAAUGAAACUCAAAGGAAUUGACGGGGGCCCGCACAAGCGGUGGAACAUGUGGUUUAAUUCGAUGCUACGCGAGGAACCUUACCUGGGCUUAAAUGCAGGACGUCGUUCCGGGAAACUGGAACUCCCUUCGGGGCGGACUGCACGGUGUUGCAUGGCUGUCGUCAGCUCGUGCCUUGAGGUGUCGGGUUAAGUCCCAUA
rnacentral:rRNA from 1 species